ACGAAACAAAACGGUAGUCGCGACUAUCAGGUUACAAUAAUAUACUAUCAAACUUAAAUAUUAUUUACUAUAGGAAAUUGUUACAGUCUGUGUCUACUGACGAAUCUCCCAACUAGCUUUAGAGUCCCAGGUGGUUCUAACCCUGUCGUCAGUUUAUAAACUCCAACAUAAUAUGAGAUCUAUGGCCUUUACAUUCUAUUUUUCCACAUAUCAAACUCGAGACAGAUGUUGGUCUCGCUGACAGCCCGCCCUUCCUUGUCGUAGAACUUCCGGAUCCCUACAUCUACGACCCUCAAUCCACAUGACCACACUCUUCCACUUACCUGCUCAACAUUGCCAAAAUUUCUUAACAAAUUAUUCUCUCAUGGGCUCAAGCUAUAGCUUUCAUCUAAUCCAAUUUCUUUUAGACUCUAUCUAAUAUUAUUCUUUUUCGCCUAAAGGAGCUCCCUGAGGAAAAAUUAUUCCUGUCACUCUACAGAUUAUCUCCUAGCGGCUUUACUACUUAUUUAGUGGUUUAAUUUUAGUUGAAAAUAGAGACAUAAAUUAAAUAAUUAAUAAAGUAAUGUGAUAUACAUAA